rnacentral:rRNA from 1 species
UCUCCAGACUCCUACGGGAGGCAGCAGUGGGGAAUAUUGCACAAUGGGGGGAACCCUGAUGCAGCAAUGCCGCGUGAAGGAUGAAGGUUUUCGGAUUGUAAACUUCUUUUGUACGGGACGAAGAAAGUGACGGUACCGUAAGAAUAAGCCACGGCUAACUACGUGCCAGCAGCCGCGGUAAUACGUAGGUGGCAAGCGUUGUCCGGAUUUACUGGGUGUAAAGGGCGUGUAGCCGGGCUGACAAGUCAGAUGUGAAAUCCGGGGGCUCAACCCCCGAACUGCAUUUGAAACUGUUGGUCUUGAGUAUCGGAGAGGCAGGCGGAAUUCCUAGUGUAGCGGUGAAAUGCGUAGAUAUUAGGAGGAACACCAGUGGCGAAGGCGGCCUGCUGGACAUUAACUGACGCUGAGGCGCGAAAGCGUGGGGAGCAAACAGGAUUAGAUACCCCUGUAAUA